ACGUAGGGAGCAAGCGUUAUCCGGAUUUAUUGGGUGUAAAGGGUGCGUAGACGGGAAAUUAAGUUAGUUGUGAAAUCCCUCGGCUUAACUGAGGAACUGCAACUAAAACUGGUUUUCUUGAGUGCUGGAGAGGAAAGUGGAAUUCCUAGUGUAGCGGUGAAAUGCGUAGAUAUUAGGAGGAACACCAGUGGCGAAGGCGACUUUCUGGACAGUAACUGACGUUGAGGCACGAAAGUGUGGGGAGCAAACAG
rnacentral:rRNA from 2 species